UACAGAGGUCUCAAGCGUUGUUCGGAUUCAUUGGGCGUAAAGAGCUCGUAGGCGGUUUGGUAAGUCGGAUGUGAAAUCUCCAGGCUCAACCUGGAGGGGUCAUUCGAUACUGCCAUGACUAGAGUUCGGUAGGGGUGUGUGGAAUUCCUGGUGGAGCGGUGAAAUGCGCAGAGAUCAGGAGGAACACCAGUAGCGAAGGCGGCACCCUGGCCGAGGUCUGACGCUGAAGCACGACAGCGUGGGGAGCAAACGGG
rnacentral:rRNA from 1 species